rnacentral:lncRNA from 1 species
UGCUAAGGUGUUAGCUUGCCUUAGGGUCUUGUGUUCGAAUCCCCAUAUGAGUGAAGGAUGUUAUUUUUGCUUCUGUGAGUGUGUGCCAGUCGUGUAGCAGAAGUUGGGUGGAACUAAAACCCUGUGGGAGUGGAUGAGUGAGUGGGUCAGUUUUGGGGGUUUAGUUGGUUAGUUAGAAUUGGUUUGAAUUUGAGAUAAUG